UACACUCCUGCGGGAGGCAGCAGUGGGGAAUUUUGGACAAUGGGCGAAAGCCUGUUCCAGCCAUGCCGCGUGCAGGAUGAAGGCCUUCGGGUUGUAAACUGCUUUUGUACGGAACGAAACGGCCUUUGCUAAUAAAGAGGGCUAAUGACGGUACCGUAAGAAUAAGCACCGGCUAACUACGUGCCAGCAGCCGCGGUAAUACGUAGGGUGCAAGCGUUAAUCGGAAUUACUGGGCGUAAAGCGUGCGCAGGCGGUUAUGUAAGACAGUUGUGAAAUCCCCGGGCUCAACCUGGGAACUGCAUCUGUGACUGCAUAGCUAGAGUACGGUAGAGGGGGAUGGAAUUCCGCGUGUAGCAGUGAAAUGCGUAGAUAUGCGGAGGAACACCGAUGGCGAAGGCAAUCCCCUGGACCUGUACUGACGCUCAUGCACGAAAGCGUGGGGAGCAAACAGGAUUAGAUACCCGUGUAGUCCCAUGA
rnacentral:rRNA from 1 species